rnacentral:lncRNA from 1 species
GACUUAGGGGUUGCAUUGCACUCUUUAAAUCCCCAAAUGACCACUAGUGUCAAAAUAUAUGUGCAAGAAAUGUUUCAAUUUAGUUGCUUUUUAAGGAAGCUAUGUGUAGUGGUGAGAUUGGACUAAGUUGGUGCUUCGUGCCAAGAUUACGAAAUUUUUUAAAGUCUUGGUUUUUUAGACUUAGGGGCUACAAUGCACUCAUUAAAUCCCCAAAUGACGACUAAUGUCAAAAUAUAGGUGCAAGAAAUGUUUCAAUUUAGUUGCUUUUCAAGCAAGCCAUGUUUAGUGGUGAGACUAGAUUAAGUUGGUGCUUCGUGCCAAGAUUUGGAAAUUUAUUAAUGUCUUCGUUUUUUAGAGUUAGGGGCUACAAUGCACUCUUUAAAUCCCCAAACGACGACUAGUGUCAAAAUAUAGGUGCAAGAAAUGUUUCAAUUUAAUUGCUUUUCAAGCUAGCUAUGUUUGGUGGUGAGAUAGGACUACGUUCAAAGUUUGGUUUUUUAGACUUAGGGGCAGCAAUGCACUCUUUAAAUCCCCAAAUGAUAAUUAGUGUCAAAAUAUAGGUACAAGAAAUGUGUCCAUUUAGUUGCUUUUAAAGCAAGAUAUAUUUGGUGGUGAGACUGGUCUAACUUGGUGCUUUGCCCUAAAAUUUGGAAGUUUUAUAAAGUCUUGGUUUUUUAGACUUAGGGGCAGCAAUGCACUCUUUAAAUCCCCAAGUGACGACUAGUGUCAAAAUAUAGGUGCAAGAAAUGUUUCUAUUUAGUUGCUUUUCAAGCCAGCUAUGUUUGGUGGUGAGACUGGACUAAGUUGGUGUUUGGUGCCAAGAUUUGGAAACUUUUGAAAGUCUUGGAUUNNN